rnacentral:rRNA from 1 species
GAUGAACGCUAGCGGCAGGCUUAAUACAUGCAAGUCGAGGGACAGCACAGGUAGCAAUACUGGGUGGUAACCGGCAAACGGGUGCGGAACACGUACACAACCUUCCUUUAAGUGGGGGAUAGCCCAGAGAAAUUUGGAUUAAUACCCCGUAAUAUAGUUGAAUGGCAUCAUUUGAUUAUUAUAGCUACGGCGCUUAAUGAUGAGUGUGCGGCUGAUUAGAUAGUUGGCGGGAUAACGGCCCACCAAGUCUACGAUCAGUAGCUGAUGUGAGAGCAUGAUCAGCCACACGGGCACUGAGACACGGGCCCGACUCCUACGGGAGGCAGCAGUAAGGAAUAUUGGUCAAUGGACGCAAGUCUGAACCAGCCGUGCCGCGUGAAGGAUUAAGGUCCUCUGGAUUGUAAACUUCUUUUAUUUGGGACGAAAAAGGGCCUUUCUAGGUCAACUGACGGUACCAGAUGAAUAAGCACCGGCUAACUCCGUGCCAGCCGCCGCCGUAAAAC